rnacentral:lncRNA from 1 species
UGUUGAAUAUUUUAGUUGGAAAUUCUGAUUUUUUAUAGAUUUUUUAUUCUCAAAUUAUAAAAAGUAGAAUAAACGAAGAUGGGAAAGGAAAAUAAAAAAUAAAGUAUGCCAGGACAUGGGCUGACCUGAACAGGAGCGUUGUGUCUUCUCCGAGCGGGUGGACCGCAGUAUAGGACAUUUAAUGGAUGGGCCGGCCCAUAGGAGGAUUUUUUGGUGUGAACCUCUUUUCCCACUUACCGGUGACAUGGUGAGUAAUUAUUGACAACUUUAAAGUUAAUUUGAAUGACGAAUGAUCAAAAGCAGUCUGCAUUUUAUUAUUAUUAGGUAGAUAGAUAGAGAAGUGAGAACACAAUAAAAAGUACCAAUUUUGCUUUGAGCUGCUUGGAGACUCGAGUGUUGUUGUAGAAUAUUUCAUUUUUCAAAUGCAUCGCCUAUUGCUAGUAAAUCUAUAGGUCAAGGAAAUAUGUUGCCUUGUGUAGUUGGAAUUACACAUGGAUCGAUUGUGUGUGCUAUUUUUUAAUGGAAACACAUAAACAGUAUACUUCGUUUGCAAGAUGGGUAACUUAAAUUCUAAUUUAAAUAAAAGUGAGGACGCAACAAAAAGUACGGAUUUUGUUGCACACAUUAAGUGUACACUUGUUCUACA